GGAGUUUAAGACCAGCCUGGCCAACAUGGUGAAACUCCCUCUCUUUAGCUGGGCAUGGUGGCAUGCACCUAUAAUCCCAGCUACUCAGGAGGCUGAGACAGGAGAAUCACUUUAACCCAGGAGGUAGAGGUUGCAGUGAGCCGAGAUCGUGCCGUUGCACUCCAGCCUGGGCAACAAGAGUAAAACUCCGUCUCAAAAAAAAAAAAAAAAAGUAUAGGAUAAUCUCAUAAAUACAAAUGUGCAAUUAUUAAAUAUAUUACUAGCAAACCGAAUCUAGCAAUGUAUGAAAGAGGUAGUGCAUCCUAAACAAGUAGGCUUAUGCAUGUAAAAAUCAAGAUAAUUUACAGUAUUAGUAGAUUAUCUGGGCAUCUCAACAGAUUAAAGAGAGUGGCUGAGCCCAGUGGUUCACACCUGUAAUCCCAGCACUCUGAGAGGACAACACAGGAGAAUCACUUGAGGCCAGGCUCAAGACCAGCAUGGGCAACAUAGUGAGACCCUGUCUCUAAAAAACCUAAUAAAAAAACAUUAGCCAGGUAUGGUAGCACACCUAUAGUCCUGGCUACUCUGGAGGCUGAGCUAGGAGAAUGGCUUGAGCCCAGGAGUUCAAGGUUGCAGUGACCUGUGAUUGCACCAUUGCACUCCAGCCCACAUGACAGAGUGACACUGUCUCUUAAAAAAAAAAAAAAAAAAGCAUUGGCUGGGCACGGUGGCUCACGC
rnacentral:lncRNA from 1 species